CUGAGCAUCUCCCCAGCCCAAGGACAUAUAUUUGAGGGGUGGGGAGAUGGCUCAG
rnacentral:miRNA from 1 species